AAAAUGACUCUCGGCAACGGAUAUCUCGGCUCUCGCAUCGAUGAAGAACGCAGCGAAAUGCGAUACUUGGUGUGAAUUGCAGGAUCCCGCGAACCAUCGAGUCUUUGAACGCAAGUUGCGCCCGAAGCCUUUUGGCCGAGGGCACGUCUGCCUGGGUGUCAC
rnacentral:rRNA from 1 species